rnacentral:rRNA from 1 species
ACAGGGCGGCGUGCUUACACACGCAAGUCCAACGAAGCACUGAAAGCAGAUUACUUCGGUAGGAAGCUAUCUUUGACUGAGUGGCGGACGGGUGAGUAACGCGUGGGUAACCUGCCUCAUACAGGGGGAUAACAGUUAGAAAUGACUGCUAAUACCGCAUAAGCGCACGGGACUGCAUGGUCAAGUGUGAAAAACUCCGGUGGUAUGAGAUGGACCCGCGUCUGAUUAGCUGGUUGGUGAGGUAACGGCCCACCAAGGCGACGAUCAGUAGCCGACCUGAGAGGGUGGCCGGCCACAUUGGGACUGAGACACGGCCCAAACUCCUACGGGAGGCAGCAGUGGGGGAUAUUGGACAAUGGGGGGAACCCUGAUCCAGCGACGCCGCGUGAGUGAAGAAGUAUUUCGGUAUGUAAAGCUCUAUCAGCAGGGAAGAAAGAAAUGACGGUACCUGACUAAGAAGCCCCGGCUAACUACGUGCCAGCAGCCGCGGUAAUACGUAGGGGGCAAGCGUUAUCCGGAUUUACUGGGUGUAAAGGGAGCGUAGACGGCGAUGCAAGUCUGAAGUGAAAGGCGGGGGCCCAACCCCCGGACUGCUUUGGAAACUGUAUAGCUGGAGUGCAGGAGAGGUAAGUGGAAUUCCUAGUGUAGCGGUGAAAUGCGUAGAUAUUAGGAGGAACACCAGUGGCGAAGGCGGCUUACUGGACUGUAACUGACGUUGAGGCUCGAAAGCGUGGGGAGCAAACAGGAUUAGAUACCCUGGUAGUCCACGCCGUANACGAUGAUCACUAGGUGUCGGUGGGUAUGGACCCAUCGGUGCCGCAGCAAACGCAGUAAGUGAUCCACCUGGGGA